rnacentral:rRNA from 1 species
GGGAUUGCCCCAGUAACGGCGAGUGAAGCGGCAGGAGCUCAAAUUUGAAAUCUGGAGCCCCCCGGCCCCCGAGUUGUAAUUUGGAGAGGCAUCUUCGGGGGGGAGCGCCGGCCCAUGUUCCUUGGAACAGGACGUCGCAGAGGGUGAGAAUCCCGUGCCAGGCCGGCUGCCUCCUCCCUAGUGAAGGGCCUUCGACGAGUCGAGUUGUUUGGGAAUGCAGCUCCAAGUGGGUGGUAAAUUUCAUCUAAAGCUAAAUACCGGCGGGAGACCGAUAGCGCACAAGUAGAGUGAUCGAAAGAUGAAAAGCACUUUGAAAAUAGAGUCAAAAAGUACGUGAAAUUGUUGAAAGGGAAGCGCUUGAGACCAGACUCAGACCCGAGCAAACACCGCGCCCCUCGGGGCCGUGCAAUUGCCUGGGGCUGGGCCAGCAUCAGUUGGCGUGGCGGGACAAAGGCGCGGGGAAUGUGGCUCCCCUCGGGGAGUGUUAUUAGGCCCGCGCUCAAUGCCGCCGCCGCCGACUGAGGACCGCGCCUCGGCUAGGAUGCUGGCUUAAUGGCCUUCAGCGACCCGUCUUGAAACACGGACCAAGGAGUCUAACAUCUAUGCGAGUGUUUGGGCGUCAAACCCUUGCGCGGAAUGAAAGUGAGCGGAGGUGGGAACCCCUUCGCAGGGCGCACCAUCGACCGAUCCUGAUGUCUUCGGAUGGAUUUGAGUAGGAGCAUAGCUGUUGGGACCCGAAAGAUGGUGAACUAUGCCUGAAUAGGGUGAAGCCAGAGGAAACUCUGGUGGAGGCUCGCAGCGGUUCUGACGUGCAAAUCGAUCGUCAAAUUUGGGUAUAGGGGCGAAAGACUAAUCGAACCAUCUAGUAGCUGGUUCCUGCCG